GACAAAAAAAAAAAAACAAAACCCGUGCAUGUUGCUUAAACCCUAGAGUUCAACGCUCUCGACUAAUUCAAUUUCGAAGUAGAAAGAUAGAAAAAGAGAAAAACUCAAAAUCGCAUCGAUGUCAGAUAGAGAAGAGAACGAUUCUGACGCCCCUGAGGAAUUCACAGCUGAACAGGGUGUAAAACUAGACGAAGAGAUUCGAAAGAUUCAAAGAGAAAACAAGCUCAGGGUUAAACAUGAGGGUAAAGAACUGCGGAGGAAACGGGCUCAAAACAUGACACGUCAACCAUCCAAAGCUAGUAAAAAAUCUCAAGAUGUAUCAAUCACUGAAUCUCCACAAAAACCAAACACUGCUGCGGGAUUUCUUCCCGAACACAUCGUCCAAAUGCUUGCAGCUCGUGAAAAAAAUGUUUUACUUACUGAGUCUAAUGAGGAGGAAGAUGAAAUAAAGCCUACCACUUCAAAGAAGAGAAAAUCCAAGAAGUCAGGUUUCGAACCUGUUAUUUUGAGCGAACUAGGUCCUCCUCAAUGCUUACACAGUGCCUUAGAUUUCUUGAAAGAAAGGAAAAUGGCAGUUCCGAGAUCCUCUGCUGUAUUGAAGAAUUCCAACCAAGCAUUGCGUCUACUUUCUAGUUCCGGGAUCAUACGCCAGAAAUGAGGAAUUUUUGUUGUGAUAAAUUUAUAGAUUUUUAAGGCCAAGAAGAUGAGGAAAUUGUUUUUUACAGAGAAACACGUGUCAAUGUUGUAUUUCGCUGUGGCUUGGAGUUGUCCACUGCAUCACGAGAAACAAGUGUCAAUGUUGCAUUUCACUCGUAUCAAUGUUGCAUCACAUCAAGGGCUGCUAGCAGUUGUUGCUGUACUUUUUGUGCACUAGACCAGUCUUCGUGCAACGUAGAUGGUAUAAAGAUGCAAUGUGAUGCAUGCCUUAUAUUCUAUAUUUUUUUCAUCAUUUGGUUUCAUUUACUCUAAAGUACGCCUGGUAGGGAAUAAUCUACUAAUUCAUUUAGAAAUUCUCCACUAAA